UCCCUAUGGGGUGCAGCAGGCGAGAAAACUUUGCAAUGUGCGAAAGCACGACAAGGUUAAUCCGAGUGGUUUCUGCUAAAGGAACCUUUUGUCGGUCCUAGAAACACCGAUGAAUAAGGGGUGGGCAAGUUCUGGUGUCAGCCGCCGCGGUAAAACCAGCACCUCAAGUGGUCAGGAUGAUUAUUGGGCCUAAAGCAUCCGUAGCCGGCUCUGUAAGUUUUCGGUUAAAUCUGUACGCUCAACGUACAGGCUGCCGGGAAUACUGCAGAGCUAGGGAGUGGGAGAGGUAGACGGUACUCGGUAGGAAGGGGUAAAAUCCUUUGAUCUAUUGAUGACCACCUGUGGCGAAGGCGGUCUACCAGAACACGUCCGACGGUGAGGGAUGAAAGCUGGGGGAGCAAACCGGAUUAGAUACCCGGGUAGUCCCAGCUGUAAACUAUGCAAACUCAGUGAUGCAUUGGCUUGUGGCCAAUGCAGUGCUGCAGGGAAGCCGUUAAGUUUGCCGCCUGGGAAGUACGUACGCAAGUAUGAAACUUAAAGGAAUUGGCGGGGGAGCACCACAAGGGGUGAAGCCUGCGGUUCAAUUGGAUUCAACGCCGGAA
rnacentral:rRNA from 1 species